AUUGAACGCUGGCGGCAGGCUUAACACAUGCAAGUCGAGCGGGGGGAGGUAGCUUGCUACCGGACCUAGCGGCGGACGGGUGAGUAAUGCUUAGGAAUCUGCCUAUUAGUGGGGGACAACAUCUCGAAAGGGAUGCUAAUACCGCCUACGUCCUACGGGAGAAAGCAGGGGAUCUUCAGACCUUGCGCUAAUAGAUGAGCCUAAGUCGGAUUAGCUAGUUGGUGGGGUAAAGGCCUACCAAGGCGACGAUCUGUAGCGGGUCUGAGAGGAUGAUCCGCCACACUGGGACUGAGGCACGGCCCAGACUCCUACGGGAGGCAGCAGUGGGGAAUAUUGGACAAUGGGGGAACCCUGAUCCAGCCAUGCCGCGUGUGUGAAGAAGGCCUUAUGGUUGUAAAGCACUUUAAGCGAGGAGGAGGCUACUUUAGUUAAUACCUAGAGAUAGUGGACGUUACUCGCAGAAUAAGCACCGGCUAACUCUGUGCCAGCCGCCGCGGUAA
rnacentral:rRNA from 1 species